CAGACUUAAGCAGCACGAUGUGGCAGAACAAUCCCCAUUGCUGAAGGAAUGUCCAGUUCUUGCCCUUUUAAAGCUGCUGCCUCUGUGACACGUCAAAUUAGGAUCACUCCUGGGGACCUAGGGGCAGAGCCACGCCCCAUGAAAGGGCUCUCCCGGGCAACCUGCCUCUUCUGCUCUCUUCUCUGAAGCAGUGAUUUGGGGGCGGGGAGAGGGGCGUGGCCGGCAGGUGUUAGAUGGAGCCCUCCUCAGGGGGCCAGGCUGGAAGCAGGAAGAAUAGCAGCUAACAGUUGUUGUGACUUAGGACUAUCUCGUCCUCACAACAAGCCUGCGAUGAAGAGACUCUUCCUAUUAUUCCCACUUUUCAGGAAAAUAUCUGUGAAAGGUACAGGCCAUCAUGGUGCGGCUGUCAAGACCAAAGGGGAGGCUCCACCCUGGGCCCAGUGCACUGUCAACUUUUCCUGCACAGACGGAAUCUUUUUUUCCUAGCAACUUUACUUUCUUUUAGUGUUACAAAGUGCCAUGAAGCCUGUGAUGGGUAACCUGCCAGAUUUCACCUGGUCCUCUGAAUAAAACCUGAUACCUGAUGUCACUUUUCUUGUCAUUUCUUCUCCUAAAAAGUUUUAUGCAGCCAACUAUCAGGUGAUGAGGGAAGAGUACAGACACCUGCAGAGGCCAACAUGGGCACACAGUUCUAAGAUGUUAAAAACAAAACAUUCCAAAUACAAAAAUUAUCAGAAGAAAUAAAGCUCUCUUACAGUAUAAGUCAGAGAGACAUGACAAAUACCCUCAGAGUAACCUGAGCUCUUGCCUAGCAUUAGCACUUUUUAAAGCCCAACUGCCAUCUUGAUUUGUGGUAUUCCCACGCAAGGCCAUGCAAUCCAGUGCCCAGAAAUGUUGAGUGCUGGGUUCUUUUCUUGGCUGCCUCUGAGUGACCUUGAGCAAAUCAACUCAACAUCCCAGUUACAGGAAAUAGACAAUCCCA
rnacentral:lncRNA from 1 species